rnacentral:rRNA from 1 species
GCCUGAACCAGCCAUGCCGCGUGAAGGAAGACUGCCCUAUGGGUUGUAAACUUCUUUUCUGCAGGAAGAAAUCACUCUACGUGUAGGGUGUUGCCGGUACUGCAGGAAUAAGCAUCGGCUAACUCCGUGCCACCAGCCGCGGUAAUACGGAGGAUGCAAGCGUUAUCCGGAUUUAUUGGGUUUAAAGGGUGCGUAGACGGGCUUGUAAGUCAGUGGUGAAAUGCUGUGGCUUAACCAUAGAAUUGCCAUUGAAACUGCAAGUCUUGAGUACAGUUGAGGUGGGCGGAAUGAGUAAUGUAGCGGUGAAAUGCAUAGAUAUUACUCAGAACUCCGAUUGCGUAGGCAGCUUGCUAAACUGUAACUGACGCUGAUGCACGAAAGCGUGGGGAGCGAACAGGAUUAGAUACCCUGGUAGUCCACGCUGUAAACGAUGAGCACUGGUUGUUGGCAAUACACCGUCAGCGACUGAGCGAAAGUAUUAAGUGCUCCACCUGGGGAGUACGUCGGCAACGAUGAAACUCAAAGGAAUUGACGGGGGCCCGCACAAGCGGAGGAACAUGUGGUUUAAUUCGAUGAUACGCGAGGAACCUUACCUGGGCUUAAAUGUAGAGUGCAUUGCUUGGAAACAGGCAUUUUCUUCGGAACUCUUUACAAGGUGCUGCAUGGUUGUCGUCAGCUCGUGCCGUGAGGUGUCGGGUUAAGUCCCAUAACGAGCGCAACCCCUAUUGUUAGUUACCAGCACGUAAUGGUGGGGACUCUAGCAAGACUGCCGGUGUAAACCGUGAGGAAGGUGGGGAUGACGUCAAAUCAGCACGGCCCUUAUGUCCAGGGCUACACACGUGUUACAAUGGCAAGUACAAAGAGCAGCCACCUGGCGACAGGGCGCUAAUCUCAAAAGCUUGCCUCAGUUCGGAUCGAAGUCUGCAACUCGACUUCGUGAAGGUGGAUUCGCUAGUAAUCGCGCAUCAGCCAUGGCGCGGUGAUACGUUCCCGGGCAUUGUACACACCGCCCGUCAAGCC